GGCGGUUCAUCCGCCAUGCUCUGUCCUGAGCGGUGCUUAGCCGACGCUCUUUACCUUGCUUAUGCGCACCUUUUGUGUUUCCUCGGCAGGUUUCCUGCCGCAAGGACCCUCAAACCUUUUGUAUUCAGCAUCAAACUUCUGAUACCAACACAAUUAUUUACAACUUUCAACAAUGGAUCUCUUGGUUCUGGCAUCGAUGAAGAACGCAGCGAAAUGCGAUAAGUAGUGUGAAUUGCAGAAUUCAGUGAAUCAUCGAAUCUUUGAACGCACAUUGCGCCCCUUGGUAUUCCAUGGGGCAUGCCUGUUCGAGCGUCAUCUAACCCCUCAAGCCUUUCGGGUGUUGCCCGCCUCUGCGCGGUGCCCUGCCCGGCUUGGUGUUGGGCGUCUGUCCCGCCAUGUGCGUGGACUCGCCCCAAAUUCAUUGGCAGCGGUCUUCCAGGUUCUCGCGCAGCACAUUGCGUCCCGAGCCGUACGGAGGCAAGCAUCCAGCAAGCAACCCCCCACAAUUUGACCUCGGAUCAGGUAGGGAUACCCGCUGAACUUAA
rnacentral:rRNA from 1 species